GUUGCAGACCAGAGGCGGGCAAAGUUUCAUGACAGAGACUGUCUCCAGGAUGCUUCCCAGAAAGUGCCUGCACGAUACCAGCCCUCUUCUCUUCCUUCCCUGGACUUGGCAGGGUCUCACUAGGUGGUGCAGGCUGCCCUCACAGUACCUGGCACACAGCUGGAGCACAGCAAGAAUGUGAGACACCAAGGAAUGAAAGGGUUCACCCUCCAAGAAGCUGGGAGUCAGAGCCCUGUGUCCUCACCGAAUGUGAUGGCCUCAGGGGUGAAUCCAGCAGGUCACAGAUGAGGAUCCGCAGGCUGGAAGCGGGGAGCAGAGCGAGAAAGCGCAGGAUGGCUAAGAUCUCAGGCCAUAUGCUCACCGC